AGCUCGAGCGCGAGUGAACAGGAGGCAGAUUUAGGCAACUGUCCGGUGUUUUCUGUCGUUAAUUUCUCAUGGACGCGUUUCUCCACCCUGCCUUCGUAGCAGAGCCAUAGAUGAAUGGAUGGAGCAUGUUUUCGGUUUAUUGAUAGACAGAGGAUAUGACUGUCAAUAUAUGAGAGUCUACAGUCACAUUUAUUUUGGUCCGUGGAGCUCUGCAGUCAAUGUUGGAGAAACCCGUAGGACUCGUCGAAGAUGGC
rnacentral:lncRNA from 1 species